rnacentral:misc_RNA from 1 species
UGUGGGAGCUGGCUUGCCUGCGAUGGCGGUGUGUCAGUUGGCUGUGCAUUGGCUGAGACACCGCCAUCGCAGGCAAGCCAGCUCCCACA